GUUAUCNGGAAUUACUUGGGCGUAAAGAGUACGUAGGUGGUUUAUUAAGUCAGAUGUGAAAGCCCCGGGCUUAACCUGGGAACUGCAUUUGAUACUGGUNAACUAGAGUAUGGUAGAGGGGGGUAGAAUUCAUAGUGUAGCGGUGAAAUGCGUAGAUAUUAUGAGGAAUACCAGUGGCGAAGGCGGCCCCCUGGACCAAUACUGACACUGAGGUACGAAAGCGUGGGUAGCGAACAGGAUUAGAUACCCUGGUAGUCCACGCCGUAAACGAUGUCAACUAGCCGUUGGGACCUUGAGGUCUCAGUGGUGCAGCUAACGCGUGAAGUUGACCGCCUGGGGAGUACGGCCGCAAGGCUAAAACUCAAAUGAAUUGACGGGGGCCCGCACAAGCGGUGGAGCAUGUGGUUUAAUUCGAUGCAACGCGAAGAACCUUACCAUCCCUUGACAUCAUCAGAACUUGUUAGAGACAACUCGGUGCCUUCGGGAACUGAAUGACAGGUGCUGCAUGGCUGUCGUCAGUUCGUGUCGUGAGAUGUUGGGUUAAGUCCCGCAACGAGCGCAACCCUUAUCCUUAGUUGCCAGCACGUAAUGGUGGGAACUCUAAGGAGACUGCCGGUGAUAAACCGGAGGAAGGUGGGGAUGACGUCAAGUCAUCAUGGCCCUUAUGGGAUGGGCUACACACGUGCUACA
rnacentral:rRNA from 1 species